rnacentral:rRNA from 1 species
GAUCAUGGCUCAGAUUGAACGCUGGCGGAAUGCUUUACACAUGCAAGUCGAACGGUAGAGGGGGCAACCCCUUGAGAGUGGCGAACGGGUGAGUAAUAUAUCGGAACGUGCCCAGUCGUGGGAGAUAACGUAGCGAAAGUUACGCUAAUACCGCAUACGAUCUAAGGAUGAAAGCGGGGGAUCGCAAGACCUCGCGCGAUUGGAGCGGCCGAUAUCAGAUUAGGUAGUUGGUGAGGUAAAGGCUCACCAAGCCGACGAUCUGUAGCUGGUCUGAGAGGACGACCAGCCACACUGGGACUGAGACACGGCCCAGACUCCUACGGGAGGCAGCAGUGGGGAAUUUUGGACAAUGGGCGCAAGCCUGAUCCAGCAAUGCCGCGUGCAGGAUGAAGGCCUUCGGGUUGUAAACUGCUUUGUACGGAACGAAACGGUGAGCUCUAAUACAGUUUGCUAAUGACGGUACCGUAAGAAUAAGCACCGGCUAACUACGUG